rnacentral:rRNA from 1 species
CAAUAGCGUAUAUUAAAGUUGUUGCAGUUAGAACGCUCGUAGUCGGAUUUCGGGGCGGGCUGACCGGUCUGCCGAUGGGUAUGCACUGGUCGGCGCGUCCUUCCUUCCGGAGACCGUUCCUACUCUUAACUGAGCGGGGGCGGGAGACGGAUCGUUUACUUUGAAAAAAUCAGAGUGUUUCAAGCAGGCAGCUCGCUCUUGCAUGGAUUAGCAUGGGAUAAUGAAAUAGGACUUUGGUGCUAUUUUGUUGGUUUCGAACACCGAAGUAAUGAUUAAAAGGGACAGUCAGGGGCACUCGUAUUCCGCCGAGAGAGGUGAAAUUCUCAGACCAGCGGAAGACGAACUACUGCGAAAGCAUUUGCCAGGGAUGUUUUCACUGA